rnacentral:rRNA from 1 species
GCGAUCAUACCAGCACUAAUGCACCGGAUCCCAUCAGAACUUCGAUGUUAAGCGUGCUUGGGCGAGAGCAGUACUAGGAUGGGUGACCCCAUAGGAAGUCCUCGAGUUGCACCU